UCCACCUGAUAAAUGCGACUACAUAUAAGGAAAUAUCGAAUAACAAUUGCAUGGUGGCCAUAAAAUCAAAAACAGUACGGAUAAGGAUAGGAUACGAUAGGACACUACAUAAGAUUAGUUUGGAAUCACUAGAAGAUAACAUCAAAUACAUAGAAAAAAUCACGCACUCAUUUAAAACCGUUGAACACUUAUAUGCCAUCCAGACUACGAGCUAUAUCACUUGAUAUAGAGAAGCUUGACAUCAAAGUACACAAAUCUAAUUUUCACUGUAAAUAAUGCAUAUGACGUCUCAUGUCAAGAUUGUCUAUACCAAGUAGCUAUAUCACAAGUCUUAGAGCAAACCCUACAGGAAAAGUUAACAAUAGCUAAAGAAACUAUUUAGUUUAAUCCCAAGUAGAACAAAAAGAGCACUGAUAAAUGUCCUCGGAACAGCAAUUAAAUUCAUUGCGGGUAAUCCCGAUAACGAAGAUCUUGAUAGCAUAAACGAAGGAAUAGGAAUAUUGAAGAAUCAGGAGAAUAAAUUCAAGCACCGGACAAGCGAUGGUACUUGUGAAGACCCCAGUACUAGAUGACAAGGACUUCGACCUCCUGGAGCUCCACACGUUGAAAGUCAACAAUUCGAGGAUAGAAACAUAAACCUGGUGGCAAAGCACGGCAAUCUGAUCUACGCCCAAACGACAAAAUGCGACAUUUGUGAAGGUACCAACCUGAUCGAGGACGAAUACAUCUAAAAUAUAUUAACGCAUCAAACACCAAAAUGCACACUCGUAAGCACAAUACAAGGAUUCCAAAGAGAUCACGGACGGCGUAAUCCUAAUUGACACUACGGAAAACAUCGAGGUAAACGACUCAUGCGGGGAUUCAAGAAUCAUUACCGAACCAACAAUAAUAGAAAUCGGCAAUUGCACAAUCAAAGCACGAAAUUUUCCAUUCUCUGGUAAAAUAGAUGUUAUAAGACAAGACAACUACUUGAUCCCAAUUUACAGUAAACCUCUUCAGAAGUCAAACUACACGUACAACGAGGAGCAAAAUGUUAUGCUGCGGAUUCAAAACCUGGAAGAAUUGAGCAUGAUCCAGCUUUCCUUUAACAGCACACAUAAAAGGAAAACUCACAAGAAGGAUGCCAAAAAGAACCACGUUGAGGCACUGAUGCUUAGAACAAAGAAGCUAGAAGAAGUAGAAGCAACCGAUGGUUCGAACACUCAAAUAACAAGAAAGGACCCCGGACAGAAGCGGCUGAAACUUAUCCCAGAACCAAGGUUCGAGCUCCUGAAACAUCAAACGAGGACGCUUGAUACUUGAGGGGGGAGGCGUUAGGAUCAGAGUUGCCCACGUGCCAUCCCAUCAGAACGAGCCAUCGACCGGCCCAUUAAUCGAUGCAACGUAAAAGUGAUGACCCAGGAAAUUAUCCAGCUGAGGUGGCAACGUGCGAAAAGGCACGCGAACGACAACGGAUAGGACGACAUCGAUGCAGACUUUGACCAGGACCGUUUUGCUGAGUUGAUAGAUUUAGUUAAUAAAAGGUUUAUCGGAAGAAAAAUUCAAUUAGUUUCGAGUGAGAAGUGAAUGAUACUUGUUGUAACUUAUAAUUAGUGGAAUAAAAUUAUUUUUUAUUGAACUCUGAUCCUUCAGAGCA